GGGGAAUAUUGCACAAUGGGCGCAAGCCUGAUGCAGCAACGCCGCGUGAGUGAAGAAGUAUUUCGGUAUGUAAAGCUCUAUCGGCAGGGAAGAAAGGCCCUUAACAGGGAGAUGACGGUACCUGACUAAGAAGCCCCGGCUAACUACGUGCCAGCAGCCGCGGUAAUCCGUAGGGGGCAAGCGUUAUCCGGAUUUACUGGGUGUAAAGGGAGCGCAGACGGCAGUGCAAGUCUGAUGUGAAAGCCCGGGGCUCAACCCCGGAACUGCAUUGGAAACUGUACAGCUUGAGUGUCGGAGAGGUAAGCGGAAUUCCUAGUGUAGCGGUGAAAUGCGUAGAUAUUAGGAGGAACACCGGUGGCGAAGGCGGCUUACUGGACGAUUACUGACGUUGAGGCUCGAAAGCGUGGGGAGCAAAC
rnacentral:rRNA from 1 species